CCGCGGCGGCGCUGGUGGCGGCGGCAGCAGCAGCGGCAGAGGCAGGGGUGGUGGCCGGGCCGCACCACCAUGGGCCUGGCCGGGCUGCAGGAGAACGUAUUUACCGGGCAGUCAAAGAUCUAUUCCUACAUGAGCCUGAACAAAUGCUCUGGAAUGCAUUUCCCCCUUCAGGAAGAGAACUCAGUUACACAUCACGAAAUCAAAUGCCAGGGGAAACCAUUAGCCAGAAUCUACAGGAAAGGAGAAGAGAAAAGAAAUGCUGGGAACGCAGUACGGAGCGCCAUGAAGUCCGAGGAACAGAAAAUCAAAGACACCAGGAGAGGUCCCCUGGCACCUUUUCCAAACCAAAAAUCUGAAGCAGCACAACCUCCAAAAACUCCACCCUCAUCUUGUGAUUCCACCAAUGCAGCCAUCGCCAAGCAAGCCCUAAAAAAGCCCAUCAAGGGCAAACAGGCCCCCCGAAAAAAAGCUCAAGGAAAAACGCAACAGAAUCGCAAACUUACGGAUUUCUAUCCUGUCCGAAGGAGCUCCAGGAAGAGCAAAGCCGAGCUGCAGUCUGAAGAAAGGAAAAGAAUAGAUGAAUUGAUUGAAAGUGGGAAGGAAGAAGGAAUGAAGAUUGACCUCAUCGAUGGCAAAGGCAGGGGUGUGAUUGCCACCAAGCAGUUCUCCCGGGGUGACUUUGUGGUAGAAUACCACGGGGACCUCAUCGAGAUCACCGACGCCAAGAAACGGGAGGCUCUGUACGCACAGGACCCUUCCACGGGCUGCUACAUGUAGUAGUAUCUUCAGUAUCUGAGCAAAACCUACUGCGUGGAUGCAACUAGAGAGACAAAUCGCCUAGGAAGACUGAUCAAUCACAGCAAAUGUUGGGAACUGCCAAACCAAACUGCACGACAUCGAAGGCGUACCUCACCUCAUCCUCAUCGCCUCCCGAGACAUCGCGGCUGGGGAGGAGCUCCUGUAUGACUAUGGGGACUGCAGCAAGGCUUCCAUUGAAGCCCACCCGUGGCUGAAGCAUUAA